rnacentral:lncRNA from 1 species
UUAGCCCGUCUAGCACGUCUAGCUCCGUCAGCACGUCUAGCUCGUCUAGCUCGUUAGCACGUAGGACGCACUGAUUGGUGUCACCUCGUUAGUCAGUAUGUGUUACACCUGUGCUGGCUUGUCCAUCUCGUUAGUGGGAAGGUGUUUCACCUGAGCUGGUCCAGGUUCUAUUUAAGAGUGUCUGGCCCAGUGCUCCAGUUGUCUUGAUACAUGUGGAGAGUCAACACCUUUAGUUGCUCCACCUUUUUGGUUUACUUCCUGUCUUUAAGUUUGGUGUGGGUUUUUCUUUUGUUUUCCUCUUCUUGGGCAGAUUUAGGUGGUCUCAUGGUGGGUGUCUUUUAGGUCCCAGUUGUUGUUACUAGUCAACUUCCAGUGGACACCCCCAUAGUGUCUUUCAGAGCCCCUCCUAAAAAACAAGUUAUAUUUUGGGUUGGAUAUUGCAUCAUAUUGUUGAUAUUUUAAUCAAUGGCAUUUCCUUACAAUGCUCAUUAGUCUUUCAGUUGUUAUUAUUGUUUUUUAUCCUCAUAUUUGUGUACUAAAUAUUUCUGAUUAUUUUCAUAGUUUUUUCCUGUGAAGCCAUUGUGUUGCAUCCAUGUCUGAAAUGUGCUGUAUAAAUAAAGCUUGAUUUGAUUUGAACAUAUUGCGAAACAAAUGAACCCAAUGACCGACCAAUCAACAGACUCUUGGUCCCUCUUAGUAUCCCCCUUGUCCCUUUCCCAAUGUCAUGAACUAGACCAGGUACUGUUACAGCUGGUCUCUCCUCCUCAAUGCCAUGAACUAGACCAGGUACUGUGUUACAGCUGCUCUCUCAAUGCCAUGAACUAGACCAGGUACUGUGUUACAGCUGCUCUCUCCUCCUCAAUGUCAUGAACUAGACCAGGUACUGUGUUACAGCUGCUCUCUCAAUGUCAUGAACUAGACCAGGUACUGUGUUACAACUGCUCUCUCCUCCUCAAUGACAUGAACUAGACCAGGUACUGUGUUACAGCUGCUCUCUCAAUGCCAUGAACUAGACCAGGUACUGUGUUACAGCUGCUCUCUCCUCCUCAAUGUCAUGAACUAGACCAGGUACUGUGUUACAGCUGCUCUCUCAAUGCCAUGAACUAGACCAGGUACUGUGUUACAGCUGCUCUCUCCUCCUCAAUGUCAUGAACUAGACCAGG